rnacentral:rRNA from 1 species
GACGAACGCUGGCGGCGUGCUUAACACAUGCAAGUCGAACGGAAAGGCCCUGCUUGCAGGGUACUCGAGUGGCGAACGGGCGAGUAACACGUGGGUGAUCUGCCCUGCACUUCGGGAUAAGCCUGGGCAACUGGGUCUAAUACCGGAUAGGAGCCAUUUUUAGCGUGAUGGUUGGAAAGUUUUUUCGGUGUAGGAUGAGCUUGCGGCCUAUCAGCUUGUUGGUGGGGUAAUGGCCUACCAAGGCGGCGACGGGUAGCAGGCCUGAGAGGGUGGACGGCCACAUUGAGACUGAGAUACGGCCCAGACACCGACGGGAGGCAGCAGUGGGGAAUAUUGCACAAUGGGCGCAAGCCUGAUGCAGCGACGCCGCGUGGGGGAUGACGGCCUUCGGGUUGUAAACUCAUUUCGCUAGGGACGAAGCUUUUUGUGACGGUACCUAGAUAAGAAGCACCGGCUAACUACGUG